UUAACCCAAACUUAGGUCAGGUUUAGGUAACUAAUAGUACUUCAAUCCCUAAAAGUAGGAUGAAGAUCUAAUGGUUGGAUUCCAAGUAUUGAUAAGGAAUGAAAAUAGAAAACGAAACUCAAAAUUUAGAAACGGCAGUAUAAUUUCAAAUCCACAAGGCAGAAUAACAACAGAACAAGGGCAGAUUCAUCACUCCAUGAACUAAUCAUCAUAUGUAAAAACCCGUUUAUUCUAAUGGCUAGAUGCUUCAGAACAACAAUUCGCAAAAUAGCAACUUAGGAUCAGAAUUAGUAACUAGCAGGAACAAUCAAUCCGCAACAUCAACAAACUCAAACUAAU